UUCCCUUGAGCAGUCCACGCCUUGUGGCGGCUUUGCGGAGCUGCUGCUUUGGCGGGAGUUGGCGGCUGGUGUGAGGUUUCUGUGGGGAGAAGGAGAGUGCCAGAGGUGACUGGUUCGUGGUUCUUCUAGGCUCUCAUGGCCACCAUGUUGGAAGGCAGAUGCCAAACUCAGCCAAGGAGCAGCCCCAGUGGCCGAGAGACUAGCCUGUGGUCGUCAGGCUUUGGGAUGAAGCUGGAGGCUGUCACUCCAUUCCUGGGGAAGUAUCGCCCCUUUGUGGGUCGCUGUUGCCAGACCUGCACCCCCAAGAGCUGGGAGUCCCUCUUCCACAGAAGCAUAAUGGACCUAGGCUUCUGCAAUGUGAUCCUGGUGAAGGAGGAGAACACAAGGUUUCGGGGCUGGCUGGUUCGGAGGCUCUGCUAUUUCCUGUGGUCCCUGGAGCAGCACAUCCCCCCCUGCCAGGAUGUCCCACAGAAGAUCAUGGAAAGCACCGGGGUGCAGAACCUCCUCUCAGGGAGGGUCCCAGGAGGCACUGGGGAAGGCCAGGUGCCUGACCUUGUGAAGAAGGAGGUACAGCGCAUCCUGGGUCACAUCCAGGCCCCACCCCGUCCCUUCCUGGUCAGGCUGUUCAGCUGGGCGCUGCUGAGGUUCCUGAACUGCCUGUUCCUGAAUGUGCAGCUCCACAAGGGUCAGAUGAAGAUGGUCCAGAAGGCCGCCCAGGCAGUAAGGCCCGCCCUCCAUUGGGUUGGGGAUGGUGGGAGCAGAAGAGCAGAGGCUGGGCCAAGCCCUUAAGUCAGGAGCAGUCCCCAUCUGGUCCUGCUUCCUGGCCUCUCUGCUCCCAGCCAUACAGCAGUCCAGUCCCCAUCAGCUGGUGGGAAAAAUCCCCUGCUCUUUGCCGACCUUCCCUUAUGUCUCACGGCCCUGCUCCCAUGGGGCUUCCUCUAACGUCUUUCCAUCAUGGUCUUAACAACCAUUACGUCAGUGCGUCGGUGCAGUUACCUUAAGAGUUGUCUAAAGGCUCCUUUGCUUUUGGGAAAUGUGCUCAGAGGAAGAACUCUGCGGCUGAACUGUCCCUCCCUCUGGGGCUGCCCUGGGUCUUUGGCUGCCUGUGUCCUCAGGGUGGGGCAGGUUGGCACUUCCCUCUGGCUCUCCCUGGAGCAGGGCUUGCCGCUUGUCCUCCUCUCUACUCACAAAACCCUCCUGGAUGGGAUCCUGCUGCCCUUUAUGCUGCUCUCCCAGGGCCUGGGUGUGCUCCGUGUGGCCUGGGACUCCCGCACCUGCUCCCCUGCCCUCAGAGCUCUGCUGAGGAAGCUUGGGGGGCUUUUCCUGCCCCCAGAGGCCAGCCUCUCCCUGGACAGCUCUGAGGGGCUCCUUGCAAGGGCUGUGGUCCAGGCGGUCAUAGAGCAGCUGCUGGUUAGUGGGCAGCCCCUGCUCAUCUUCCUGGAGGAACCUCCUGGGGCUCUGGGGCCACGGCUGUCAGCCCUGGGCCAGGCUUGGGUGGGGUUUGUGGUGCAGGCAGUCCAGGUGGGCAUCGUCCCAGAUGCUCUGCUGGUACCAGUGGCCGUCACCUAUGACCUGGUUCCGGAUGCACCGUGUGACAUAGACCAUGCCUCGGCCCCCCUGGGGCUGUGGACAGGAGCUCUGGCUGUCCUACGUAGCUUGUGGAGCUGCUGGGGCUGCAGCCACCGGAUCUGCUCCCGGGUGCACCUAGCUCAGCCCUUUUCCCUGCAGGAAUACAUCGUCAGUGCCAGAAGCUGCUGGGGCGGCAGACAGACCCUGGAGCAGCUACUGCAGCCCAUCGUGCUGGGCCAAUGUACUGCUGUCCCAGACACUGAGAAGGAGCAGGAGUGGACCCCCAUAACUGGGCCUCUCCUGGCCCUCAAGGAAGAGGACCAGCUUCUGGUCAGGAGACUGAGCUGUCAUGUCCUGAGUGGUGAGGGUGAACCAGAUCUGGGCCUUUGCGGGUGGGUCACUGAACCGUCCCCUCUCGGGGUCAGCCAGUCACCAGGGUUCUCCAUUCCAAGUGAGUGUCUGCACCUGAGGCGCUCUGUGGUACCUUGGGGACAUCUGAAGAAGAAUGGAACCCUUCUCCUACAGGAGGAGCAGGCAGCCAGGGCCAUCAUGAGGGAGCAGCUAAGUGCAUGCACAAAGAUGGUGGCCUGAGGCCAGGAGGCUGCAGCUGCUUCCCCAAGGCCACACCCAGCCCUGCCUUCUGAGCGGAGUCUCCUUAGCUUUGGGUGGGGAUGGUGUUAACUGAAUGGAAUGAUACGUGUAAGGGGCUUAGCACAGCGCCUCCGCAGAGGGCCCUUAUAGGGAGAUCCAUCUGUAUCUUCUUCAGUGCCCCUCUAGUAGAGGCUGUGGGUUGAUGUGUGGGCCCUACGAUGAGAUCCAGGGGAAGGCCCCCAGCUCCUGGCCUGCUCUCAGCCUGUGUGAUGAUAAACACCACUGCUCCGGGUGUACGUUCUUCAUCCCUGGGGUGGAGUUGGGAUGUGUGACUACGAAGACUUGCCAGAUCAUGGAGGGACCAGGCUGCUGGGCCUCAACCUGACCAGCAUCUCCACCCCCCGCCCCACUCCAGCCAGUGUAGGGAGCUCUGCGGUGAUGAGCACGGCCAUCAUGGCAACGCUGCUGCUCUUCAAGCAUCAGAAG
rnacentral:sRNA from 1 species